UGGGGAAUUUUACGCAAUGGGGGAAACCCUGACGCAGCAACGCCGCGUGAGUGAUGAAGGCCUUCGGGUCGUAAAGCUCUGUCAGAGGGAAAGAAGUGCGAGAGGGUUAAUACCCCUUUUGCUUGACGGUACCCUCAAAGGAAGCACCGGCUAACUCCGUGCCAGCAGCCGCGGUAAUACGGAGGGUGCGAGCGUUGUUCGGAAUUAUUGGGCGUAAAGCGCGUGUAGGCGGUCUUUUAAGUCUGAUGUGAAAGCCCCGGGCUCAACCUGGGAAGUGCAUUGGAAACUGGGAGACUUGAAUACGGGAGAUGGUAGUGGAAUUCCUAGUGUAGGGGUGAAAUCCGUAGAUAUUAGUAGGAACAACGGUGGCGAAGGCGGCUACCUGGACCGAUGUUGACGCUGAGACGCGAGAGCGUGGGGAGCAAACA
rnacentral:rRNA from 1 species